AGUCCUGAGGUGUUACAUGUUAAAUUGCAAAUUUAAAGAAGCAGGUUUAUACCCUGCCGGGACUU
rnacentral:tRNA from 2 species